rnacentral:lncRNA from 1 species
GAGCAAACCCUAGACCCUAGCCUACCAAGUCCCAUCCGCAGCCGCCGCCGUUCCACCAAAUCUCCCUCGGGUUCCAACCCACACCAACCAACGCUUCCCCUCGUCCAUUCUUCCAUCCAGCAGCCACGAGGAGCUUUGGCCUCCCGCAGUCGCGCCUCCAACAGCAGCAGCAGCAGUCCAAGCCCGUUGAGGUGGUGCCUCCUUCCGGCGCCUCGGCCUCCCUGCGAGCCCCGCGUCUGAGAGCGUCGUCGCACACGCACUGCCCUGCCGCAUGGAGCUGCCCCGAGCAGCCUCGAACCAGCUGCGCCUCCUUGUGGGCUCCUGGCUCGACCACGAGGUCGCCCUCGAGCACCACCCCUCGGUCAGCCUCGGCAGGCCACCCUCCUCUCCUCCAGCUAGCUCCUCCAUGCCGCUCGUAGGAUCUCCAGAGUCAUCAUCUCUCGGUUGCUUCUCUCCCCCUGUUUUCCUCUCUGAAUUUUCCCUUUGUCUCAUCUCUCUCCCUGAGCCAGGAACAGGCAAACGGCCAUGGACGCCAAUGCCGCUCGAAGCCUCCUCCGCCCUGCCUCGUCCUCCCGCCGGUGAGCCGAACCGUCGUCUCGUGCUCUCUGUCAUUCCUCCUGCUCCUUCCCAUCUCCUUCCUCCUCUAAUCUCUCUCUUGUUUUUUUCUUCUCUAUCAAGGGAACAAACAGAGCUCACAGCCACAGGAGUUGACAGCUUCCGCUGCUGCAGGCCCGCCCCGAUCGCCCCAAGGACCUCCUCGCCGGAGCUCCACCAGCAGGUGGGCCAGUUGCACGCCCUUCCCUGCUCCUCUACUUCCCUGCUCCUCUACUUCCCUCUCCCCUCGAGUCUCUCUCUCUGAAUUCCUCUCUCGUUGGUUCAGGAACAACAUCGCUAGCACGCAGGAGUUGGACCUCUCCAUGUGCUCGUGCGUCGGAUCGAGCCCUCGUUGCCGGGAAUGGAACCCCCAGUCCCGGAUCUAUUGAUCCCCAUCAUUCCCGCGUCGUAGAACCCCAUCCCCAAGCCAAUCCCGCUCAUGCUUCGUCCCAGUUGCAGGUACAGAGCUGUUUCAUUUUUCAGUUUCGUCAGACUCUAUACACGAUAUGGUUCUUCUAAGGCAACAACCCUGAUUUUGCAUAGUUACUUCGUAGCCUAGCUGGUUAGCUCCUUGGUCUCCAACAAGGAGGUCUUGGGUUCGAAACCCCACAGCUGCACUUUCUUUUUCUGCAAUUUCUCCUUCGAGGAUGAGCUGAUGCUGCCGUUUCAUUUAGUGUAGAAGCCUAGUUAUUUCGCUUGUAAGUAGCCAGCCUAGCUGGUUAGCGGCACGCCUUUAUAUCCAUGAGGUCAUGGGAUCAAAUCGGAGCUGCCCAUAUUAUUUUCACCUUGUGUUUUUUAGUUGUAGUAUGUUUUAGAACGUCCGUAACUGUUAAACCGUGCAUCGGAUUAAAAUGUUUUUAACAUGUAAGUUGCUUAGAAUUUUCUGUAGUUUCACAAAAACCAACUCUCAUGCAUAAUUAGAUCUGUUUAGUGUGCUGUUUGCAUCGGUUUGCGUCUCGACGUGUUGAAAACGGUUUAGGACGUAACUAUUUGUCCGUAGCUCCGUUGGAGUUGUGCCAUAUAUGUAAAUGGACCAGCACGUCGCGUAGCAUCACGUGAACCACUUUGUUUUUCUGUUUAACAAACUUAAAAUGUGAUUAGGACAAAUCUGGACAGAAUUAGAAUUUAACACGUGGGGUCAUUUCGGAGAUGCUAUAUGUCGUUUCCGGCCUCAUUUAAAAUGCCUAGCUAGGUAGAUUAAUUUGUGCUUCACCCCCUUGCCAUGUUAACAACCUUUUAAUACUGCCGAGUACCUAAUCGGGAUAGAACUAAAUAACUAAUGUGGAGUUUCGUCAAUAUGCAACUCGUUGCAUAUCGAGCUUCACUUAAUGUGUAGAGUUUGCGUGAGGUGAAUUGCCAUGCUAUCCCUUGCAUUUUGAUCUGUUCUUGCAUCAUAUUAGGUCGUGCGUCAUGUUGUGCAUCGUGUGGUGAAUAUCUAUGUUGAUGUUUGUUUCCGGUUUGUUCCGUCUCGAUAGAGUUCCGCAAGCGUGUCAGAAUGUGAGGACCCGUUCGACUACGUUGGUUCGCCGACUCCAUGGAGUCGUUCUUCUUCCAAGCGGGAUCUCACGCAAGAUGAUCAUUUCCCCAGAUACCAUUACUAUCAUUGCCAUGCUAGUUUUACCGUUUCUACCGUUUACGUCUCGUUACCUACCACUUGUCAUACACGAGCCUCUCAACAAUGCCAUGAUAACCUUCAACUGUUCAACCUAGCAAACCACUGAUUGGCUAUGUUACCGCUUGCUUAACCCUGUGUUAGCGUUGCUAGUUGCAGGUGCAGAUGCUUCCAUGCGAAAGCAUGGGUUCCUUGUUAUAUCACCAUUCAAUUGCUAUCUAAUUUAAUGCACCUAUAUACUUGGUAAAAGGUGGAAGGCUCGACCUUUCUAGCCUGGUGUUUUGUUCCACCUUUGCCCCCUUAGUUUCCGGCUACCGGUGUUAUGUUCCAUAAUUGAGCGCUCCUAACACGAUCGGGGUUGUUAUGGGGACCCCCUUGAUAAUUCGUCUUAGAUUAAAGCUGGUCUGGCAACGCCCAACUUUGGUACUACAUUUGCCUAAACACCUAAUAAAAUUGCAUAGGGACUUUCCGGACCCCGAGGAUAAUUUAAUCAACCCCCGGGCCAGUGCUCCUCAUGAGUGUUGGUCCCACCUGAGCGAUGUCCGGCACCCCUCUGGUCACCCAGAGGUUUAGCGAUCCCGACGUCUAGCUCAUCCGUCGUGUCCUGAGAACGAGGUACGCGACUCCUAUCGGGAUCGUCGACACGUCGGGCGGCCUUGCUAGAUUAGUUUUACCUUUGACGAGAUAUCUUCUGCAUCGGGAUUCCGGUGAUGCUUUGGGUAAUCUCAAAGUUGAGGUUUUCCACUAGGGAAUCCGACGAGAUCGCGAGCUUCGUGAUUGAGGAUUUCUAUGCGGCUUGUGGUAAUUUGUGAUGGAAUAGUUGGAGCACCCCUGCAGGGUCAAAUCUUUCGGAAAGCCGUGCCCGCAAUUAUGUGGCAACGUGGAAACUUUGUUUAACACUGGUUCUAGAUAACUUGAAGGUAACUUAAUUAAAACUUGCCAACUGUGUGCGUAACCGUGACUAUCUCUUUCGUGAGAUCUUUCUCUGAUCGAGGACAUGGUGGGGUUAUGUCUGACGUAGGUAGGUGUUCAGGGUCAUUCAUUUGAUCAUUAGUAGUCACGUCCGCUAUGCGUAGAUCUUCCCCCCUCUAUUUCUUGUACUCGUAAGUUUAGCCACCUCAUAUAUGCUUAGCCGCUGCUGCAACCUCACCACUUAACCAUACCUCACCCAUUAAGCUUUGCUAGUCUUGAUACCUUUGGAAAUGAAAUUGCUGAGUCCCCUGUGGCUCACAGAUUACUACAACACCAGUUGCAGGUACAGGUAAAGGUUCCUUGACGCGAGCGCGUUGAUUGUUCAUUUGGAGUUGCUUCUUCUUCUUCUUCUUCAUCGAUCUAGGAUGGGUUCCAGGCCGGUAGCCUGAGAUAGCAAGGAUGGACGUUGUUCUUAUUUUUCUCGUUUGUUUUCAUCCGUAGUCGGACCCUGCUCUUACUCUUGAUGAUUGUGUAAUGUACUGAUGUGACUCUGAUGUAGCAUGUGGCGAGUGUAAGCCAAUUCCUUAUAUAUAUCUCUUCUUUUCAGUACAUGUACUUGUAACGAUAUCCAUUCUUGCGACACGACGAGAUGUGCUUCUAUCACUGACGAGGCCCUCGUGCCAAAUUGAGGAUAGGGUCGAAUCUUGGGCGUGACAAGUUGGUAUCAGACCAGUACCGACCUAGGAGCCCCCUUGAUUGAUCGAACUUGGCCGAGUCGAGUCUAGUAAAAAUACUUUGAGUCUAGUUAUAUAUCGGAGAGUAGGAUUCUUUUUUCUCCUCUUCCAUGCUCUGGUGAGG